AGGUAUUGAAAUAAGAUUUUAAAUGAGUGCUAAGAGAAUGAUUAAACAAUUAAAAACUCUUUAAUUAAAUAAUUAAAUUUAAUUUUUUUGUGCAAAAGCAAAAAUAAAAUUUAGGGCAAGAAGACCCUAUGAAUUUUAUUAUUAAUAUUUUGCAAUUAAAUUAUUAAUAAUUUAAUUGGGUGAUAAAAAAAGAAUAAGUAUCUUUUUAAUUAUAAAAUAAGUUCCGUUUUUAGCGAUUAAAUGAAAAAAAUACUCUAGGGAUAACAGCGUAAUAAUUUUGGAUAGUUCAUAUAGAUAAAAUAGUUUGCGACCUCGAUGUUGGAUUAGGAUUCUUUUUUGGUGAAGAA
rnacentral:rRNA from 1 species